rnacentral:rRNA from 1 species
UCCGGCCCGCCGACGACGGCGCCGGUAUGCACGUUGGGAUUAGGGCCGCCGGCGUAGAGGUAGCCCUGGAAACCCUCCUGGCAGCCGAUGUGCGCCGGGUGCGCGGCCACGGACGGCAUGGAGGACGCCCUGUGGUGUAUCCUCUGCGGGGAGCGCGCGCCGUAG